rnacentral:tRNA from 2 species
GGAGAGGUCGCAUAGUGGCUUAGUGCGCACGCUUGGAAAGCGUGUAUUGGGUAACUCCCAAUCGUGGGUUCGAAUCCCACCCUCUCCGCCA